UUAGCACUCCCCUUGAGAAGGAUGGAAAGGUUCUAGUGGUCUUUACAACACAUAUAUGGUUAAGGCAUUUCCAUCUACUUUGUGGCAUCUAACCAAGUUUUCUG
rnacentral:ncRNA from 2 species